UAAGGCAGUGGUAGCGCUGAAGAAUAUUCGUGCAAUUGUCGUUAUUCAUUAUAAAAGGGCGGGUUUUAAAGGAUAUUUUAAAAUUUAAAACAAGCUUUUAAGAGCAGAUGGCGGAUGCCUUGCCAAAGAGAGGCGAUGAAGGACGUACUAGACUGCGAUAAGCUAUGCGGAGCUGUCAAGGAGCUUUGAUGCGUAGAUGUCCGAAUGGGGCAACCCAACUAAUAGAGAUAUUAGUUACUCUAAUUUAGAGAGCGAACCUAGUGAAGUGAAACAUCUCAGUAACUAGAGGAAAAGAAAUCAACGAGAUUCCCUAAGUAGUGGCGAGCGAACGGGGAAAAGGGCAAACCGAGUGCUUGCAUUCGGGGUUGAGGACUGCAACAUCCAAGAGAACGCUUUAGCAGAGUUACCUGGAAAGGUAAGCCAUAGAAAGUGAUAGCCUUGUAUGCGACAAGGCGUUCUUAGGUAGCAGGAUCCAGAGUAGGCCAGGACACGAGAAAUCCAGGUUGAAGCCGGGGAGACCACUCUCCAACCCUAAAUACUACUCUUUGAGCGAUAGCGAACAAGUACCGUGAGGGAAAGGUGAAAAGAACCGCAGUGAGCGGAGUGAAAUAGAACCUGAAACCAUCUGCUUACAAUCAUUCAGAGCCCUAUGAUUUAUCAGGGUGAUGGACUGCCUUUUGCAUAAUGAUCCUGCGAGUUGUGGUAUCUGGCAAGGUUAAGCGAAUGCGAAGCCGUAGCGAAAGCGAGUCUUAAUAGGGCGAACAAGUCAGAUGCUGCAGACCCGAAGCUAAGUGAUCUAUCCAUGGCCAAGUUGAAACGCGUGUAAUAGCGCGUGGAGGACUGAACUCGUACCCAUUGAAACGGGUUGGGAUGAGCUGUGGAUAGGGGUGAAAGGCCAAACAAACUUAGUGAUAGCUGGUUCUCUUCGAAAUAUAUUUAGGUAUAGCCUCAAGUGAUAAUAAAAGGGGGUAGAGCCCUGAUUGGGCUAGGGCUGCUCGCCGCGGUACCAAACCCUAUCAAACUUCGAAUACCUUUUAUCGUAUCUUGGGAGUCAGGCGGUGGGUGAUAAAAUCAAUCGUCAAAAGGGGAACAACCCAGACUACCAAAUAAGGUCCCUAAGUUCUAUUCUGAGUGGAAAAAGAUGUGUGGCUACUCAAACAACCAGGAGGUUGGCUUAGAAGCAGCCAUCCUUUAAAGAAAGCGUAACAGCUCACUGGUCUAGUGGUCAUGCGCUGAAAAUAUAACGGGGCUAAGAUAGACACCGAAUUUGUAGAUUGUGUUAAACACAGUGGUAGAAGAGCGUUCAUACCAGCGUUGAAGGUAUACCGGUAAGGAGUGCUGGAGCGGUAUGAAGUGAGCAUGCAGGAAUGAGUAACGAUAAGAUAUAUGAGAAUUGUAUCCGCCGUAAAUCUAAGGUUUCCUACGCGAUGGUCGUCAUCGUAGGGUUAGUCGGGUCCUAAGCCGAGUCCGAAAGGGGUAGGUGAUGGCAAAUUGGUUAAUAUUCCAAUACCGACUAUGGAGCGUGAUGGGGGGACGCAUAGGGUUAAGCGAGCUAGCUGAUGGAAGCGCUAGUCUAAGGGCGUAGAUUGGAGGGAAGGCAAAUCCACCUCUGUAUUUGAAACCCAAACAGGCUCUUUGAGUCCUUUUAGGACAAAGGGAGAAUCGCUGAUACCGUCGUGCCAAGAAAAGCCUCUAAGCAUAUCCAUAGUCGUCCGUACCGCAAACCGACACAGGUAGAUGAGAUGAGUAUUCUAAGGCGCGUGAAAGAACUCUGGUUAAGGAACUCUGCAAACUAGCACCGUAAGUUCGCGAUAAGGUGUGCCGCAGCAAUGCGGUCUCAGCAAAGAGUCCCUCCCGACUGUUUACCAAAAACACAGCACUUUGCCAACUCGUAAGAGGAAGUAUAAGGUGUGACGCCUGCCCGGUGCUCGAAGGUUAAGAGGAUGCGUCAGUCGCAAGAUGAAGCGUUGAAUUGAAGCCCGAGUAAACGGCGGCCGUAACUAUAACGGUCCUAAGGUAGCGAAAUUCCUUGUCGGUUAAAUACCGACCUGCAUGAAUGGCGUAACGAGAUGGGAGCUGUCUCAACCAGAGAUUCAGUGAAAUUGUAGUGGAGGUGAAAAUUCCUCCUACCCGCGGCAAGACGGAAAGACCCCGUGGACCUUUACUACAACUUAGCACUGCUAACGGGAAUAUCAUGCGCAGGAUAGGUGGGAGGCUUUGAAGUAAGGGCUUUGGCUCUUAUGGAGC
rnacentral:rRNA from 1 species